GGUGCGCGGGUCUCGGCGCUGCGGCUGGUCAACAGAGAGCUGCGGCCUGUGGAGCAUUGUCUAAUCUCAGAGCGCUGAGGGCGGGCACCGAGAAUCCUGGCGUUAGUCCAAGGGGCCUGGCGAAAUCUCAUUAACGAGAACUGCAGGUUGUUGGUGAAGUCACGACGUAGUGCCAGUGGCCUCGUCCCCCUCUAUGCGCAAGGGAUCCUCACAAGCUGUGGAAUCCGGGCGUCGGGACCCGCGGGGACCUGGGCCUUCUGCUUCCACUCUCAUUCCUGAAUGUUAAAGGGGCAGGGCCGGACUGGGAACAAGAGAAGGCUGGAGAAAUAGCAGGGCCGGAUUUUCCCCCCGAUAACAGACAUUUGCAGACCUCCUAGAAGGAAAAGUCUAGAAACAGUGGUAUUGGGGAAAGAACGAUGUGGCCAUCUCAUGUCGUGAUGGGAACCCCUUUGCCCUUGAGACACCGUCGUCUCUCACCUGCUUUAUCGUCAUGAUCUUCUGACUGGAUUUCCUGCCCCGAGAUUUGCCAUUGCUGUCAGACCCACUCCAGCCCAGGCUUCUCCUGGGCAUGCUACAUACACUGUGGGAAGGCGGAAGACUGACCUAGAACACCUUCAAGUGGAUGCUACACUUAAAAAUGAACUCCUGGAGGGUGAGACCAUGCAUGAAAACUGGCAGAAGACUCUAUCAUAAAGAGGAAGCCGUCAGGUUCUUGGAUAAUUGCUGAAUGGAACUAAGGGAAAUGAGAAGAGAGAAGCAUCUCAGAGUAUGUUUGGACUUGCUGCAUGCCUUGGACCCUGCUACACACUGAUAACUGAGUAUUGAGCCCUUGAGCUGAUAAACAAGGGUCUUUGACUCAAGAGUGUUUUGCAUCCUGUUUGCAAGCUUUAUGUUUGUUUCUUUUCCUCCAAGAGUAUGUUUUCUUACUCCCCAUAUGGCCCCAAACCACACAUUGAGAAAUAUGGCCUACAGUUUGUGAUUAAUGAAACCCUAUCUCCACUCCACCCUCCACUCAUUAACCAAUGAUCUCUACUGGUGCCUGUCACAUUUACAAAUAUGAGAGAGGCCUUCAUUUAAAUCUGGAACUAAGCUAGUGAUUUCAGUUACAAUAUUCCGAGUCAUUCUGACAUUAUC